UCUCCUUCGGAGAAGCCAUACAUUUUACAUGGUUCCCGCCUGCUUCCCUAGCAGUGCAAUAGUUCUGGCAGUCAGGGAACACUCUCUGAGUGCUUGCUGGGUGCCAGGCAUAAUCUCCAUGUGUGAUUGAAUUUGGGGAACUUCGAGGGGCCAGGUGUAUCAGUUGAGGAACAGUGUACACGUUUCACUAGUCGAGGGCCCAUACUCCUACCACCAUAGCCAGAGUAGAUAAUAACCCUUUCUGAAUAUUAUGGAAAUCUAGUGCUCAAGAAAGGAAAGUCACUGAGCAGUCUCCUGGUGCUGGCGAUCCAGUCCCAGCUGUUUGCAGCGUGGGCAGAGGAGCAGCAGAAACACUGCAGGGUGGAGGAUGGCAGGAGGGUCCAUGCCUUGAAGGAGAGAAUGAAGGGGAAGAGUGCUGUGCCUGCAGCUGUGAAAUGCUGAAUGGGAAGCAUCUCUUUAACUGGAUAAGGAGUGUGGGGCUGACUGGUGUUGGCCAAGUGUCAUCUCAGGUAGCAUGAGACUGCAGGGCCUUUCUGGGGUACUGUCCCCCAGAAAGACUCUGCAGUGGGAGCUGCUGCACUGUAGAUGAGACCCUGGCCCCUGUGCUGAGAGACGGUGAUGAGGAUUUUGCUGACGACUCCGUGUCCUCAGACUUGUGUCCUCAAACCCUCAUGGCCUGCAAACUGGGGGUCUUCUGCCCAGGAAGCUGCUACUGGGAGGAGCGAGGCGGGGCGCUUUCCCUGCUGUGUUCUGUGACCCCGCUACCGUCCUGAGCUUGUUCGUUUGUGAGGAAUAGGCUGGAGGAUGAGAGAGGGAGAACAGUUGCAGUGGCUCAUCAGCCUGCUGGAAAUGGAAGAGUCUCUUGGGAUCUGCAGCCUUGGUAACAGGUCACAGAAUUGUCUCCUGAAGAUCUUGAAAUGUCUGUUUAAAGUUUCUCUUUAUUGUGAAUCCCGAGGUAGGUGGGUGUUCGAGCAUCAGUGACUGUGAUUUUUUUUUAUUAUGAAAUAGUUUUUUGUAAAUUGCUUUUAGAAAUCAUUUAUAUGUACAGCACUUAUUUAUCCUAUAUGUGUGUCAUCUCUGUGACCCCCAGAGACUUAGGGACAUUCCCAGGCACAUCUUUUGUUCCAACUGUGAAUGCAGAAGACGUAAAUAUAACUGCAGGCUGGAGAAACACAGAAUAGCCCAACUCACUCACACACUUUAUGUAGUCAGUGGAAUUAUUAUUAUUAUUAUUAUUAUUAUGUAUAAUAGUACCUGUCCCACUGCUCUAGAGUUCCCUUAGUACUUUUGAAUGAACUGAGAAAUUCGUAAUCAUUUGAAGAAAUCUCUAUGUAAACAUUAGGACUAAACAGGUGUUCUCCUCUGUCCUGGGCAGACUGUAGGUGGACUUGCAGUGAGGUUUCCAGGGUGUGUGAAGUUGAACUGAUAUUUACAAGAAUUUGAGGUCAAGUACUUUGGUUGUCCUUGAGCAGGUGAGCAGACCUUGUGGCAAGCCCUGGAUUCUCACUGCAAGCUGGACUGAUGUUAACAGAGACCCACUGUUUUACCUCCCUUCCCUUUCCACAUUCCCUCUCAUUGGAUUGAAAUCACUCAUUUGCUAAAAGUUGAGUACUGUGUGUGUGAAUCUGUUCAAACCAUAGAAAGGGUAGAGCGAUGGUCUAUCUUCAUAUUUUAAUAGACCAUGAUGCCAACAGAAUGUUCAAAGUCUCACAUGUUCCGAGUUCUGUGGCCUCACUGUUAUAUCCUGGAUCCCUCCAUAGCCCCUGUGAAUGAGCACAUGAGCUCUCUUUCUCCUGAGGGACCCAGGAGUUAAGUGAGGAAACAGUGUACCACCGUGUGCAGUCCUCCGUCAAGGUAAAUCCAGUGAGGAUGAAUAGUAAAUGCUGAAGGCUUUGUGCUUAUUAUAUAUGAGUGCACUUUCAUGCUGGUCCUCUCUCUAUGGAUUUAACUCCCCCACUGAGGGUCCAGCUUGGAGCUUACUACACAGGCUCCUGCUUGGUAAGUCCUCAGAUCCAUGCAGUAAGGUUUUUCUACUUGUGAACAUCAUCUCAAGAAGGUAAGAGAUGGACAGGUAAGAGCUGGAGGCCCGUGCCUGCAGGCCUGGCCUUGGGGAGGGCAGCCCAGAAACAGCAUACGCAGCCUUGCAGCCUUGCUCAUACGCAGCUUUUCCUCAGCCUUGCUCUUCCCAAUGGGCUCUGACAAACAGGGAACCCUGAGCAUUGCUACCAGCUGGGAGCUUGUUGACUUGCAAAAUCUCAGCCCCCGCACACCCACUAAAGUCUGACAGCACUGGGCAGAGUUCCUCUGCUCGUGAGCAUCUGGGAAGCAACUGCUCAAGGUCACACUGGGGGGCCGUGUGAGGUCUUUGGACCAAGUGUGCAGUGACUUCCAGCUUCUCCCCGGCCCACAGCCCCUCAAGGAGGAUGCGCCUCCCAGGUUAACUCGCUGCAGAGCAUUGGUUGAUUCAGCAUUCUGGAGUGUGCUGCGUGAAGGACUACUUGAGUCAUCUCCAUAAAUCAACAUAGUGGUCAUUGGAGUUCCUUCCAUGGUGGAUGGGACUUGAGAUCAGCAAAGGAGACUGAUGAAAGCAGGGGUUUAUCUUUGCUGCCUGGGAAGCCGGCCUAAGAACUGCUUUUCUCAGCUGAUGUAGAGGAAGACCCCGCCAGGGAACGAGCACGGUGAAGCUGCAUGUCCUUCCUGGAUGAAGUUUUCGGCUUAUUUAUUAUUGUUCUUUGGUGGGUAUUUUAAUUUGCUGUGUAGGAAAAAAUUUCCUUGACUGUUGCCUUCUGGAAACCUAAAUUUCCCAUUUAGCUGCUUUCGCAAGGAAAUCUGAGCCAACAUCGUCAUUAAUCUGUUUGUGCCAUUCAAGCAGCCCACUAAAAUGUCAAAGGGAUAGUUAUGAAAAUGAGCAUAUAAAUGCCUAUGGAUACUGAUGAUCUGAAUAGAACAGAACAACAUUCACCGAAAUAGUUUUAUUCUAUUUACAUAAAGGGCAUGUAAUUAGUCCAAAUGUAUCGCGCUAGUGCCCAUUUAAGUUUCUAAAAUCCUUUGUAAGAAAGUUAUUAGUGCCACAUGGGGUGAAUCUGUUGCUUCUGGCUGUAAUGUUUUUCAGGAAUAUACUGGAGAUCCAGAAGCCUGAACUCGGGUGAAAGGCACCUCUGGGCCUGUGGUUCUUUAGAGCACAGUGGGAAGUUUUUCUAUUUGUAGAAGGAAAUGAAGAUAAAAUUCCACCUAUAAUCUCAACUGCUGUGGCCAUUGUAGCUGCUGAACUUCAUAAGUAAAGCCUGUUCCCACCUGUUGGCUCCAUUCCGAACGGUGGAAAGCGCUCCUGAAUGGGAAGUAGUAGAAACCAAGGAGUGAGCCAAAAGCUGAAGACACCCCAGAGGUUCCCAGGGACUUGGCGUGGAAAGGGAGAAGGGGGCAUGUGAAGGCUGCCCAGGGCAGGCCUACCUGGGCUCCUGUGUCACUAUUAAGCCAUCUUCACUACGGGGAGCUUUGAGAGCCUGGCGGGAGAUGAAGACAUGUGCCGGAGGCUAAAUUUCAGACAGAUCUUGCGCGCCGUCCCCCCCCCCCCGCCAUGUUUUCCAAUAUACAGAAGAACACUAUAGUGAGAUUAUUUUAGGUGGAAUUCCUAUGAAUAUUCAAAAGGAAGUGUUUGUUUUGAUGACUUCCUUCUCCAUAUCACCAGUCAUACCAGAAUUUCAUGUCUAGUAGUUAUCAGUGGAGAAAGUAGCCAGGAAGUCAUGUUGCACCUAACAUAAGCAUGUUGGAAAAAUCCUGACAGCGAUAGGCGAGUAAGUCUGGGAAACAUUUAACCUAGAACAGAGGUUACAGGGCAAGUUCAAACCCUAAACUCUUGCCAAGACCCUAGAACUUUGCGUGUUCUCUCUGAGAAUUGAUUUAAUUCAAAAUUUGUACUACUUUUUCUAAUUGAUCCUUCUUGUGCUCUGACAGACAUUCAGGAUGCCCAGAGUCCAUCCAUUUCAUCAAGCCGCAGAAGUGGUUACCUGAAGGAGCCUUGAGCCCACGGUUCCGUCCUUCCAUCUGCUGGGGUCCUUCCUUCCCUUGGUCGGCCUGUCCACUCCACACCCACCCUGCUGGCUACAUCUUCUGAGGACACCCCCAGCUCAGAAAGAUUAAGAAUUUCCAAGCUUUAUGUGUUGAAUGACAACGCAGUUAUAUUAAUCAACAAAUAAAAAAUUUACUUUUA